CAUAAGUGCUUGUGUAUGUAUUUGUAUGUACGCUCCUAUAGACAGCUGUGUCUGUUUAUGCAUACAUACGUACAUAGUAUACACGUUCACACACACACACAUAUAUAAGAAAUGCAUAUACACACAUAAUGUAUAUAUGUAUAUAAAUGUAUACGUAUAAAAUAAAAAUUCUUGUAUACACACACACAUGUAUAUAUGAAAAAUGAUGUAUAUGCUUAAAAUUCAUAUAGACACAGAAACACAGGCACACACACGCACACUCGCUGACACACACACACACACGCACACACACACACACACACGCACACCACACACACACACACACACACACACACACACACACACACACACACACAUAUAUAUAUAUAUAUAUAUCGUGUCUUCGUUCCUACAUAAUUUAAACACCUUCAAACGCACACGCACGCAUAUUAUACACGUAUUAUAUGAUAAAGAUGGGUCUAUUAAUGUCACCUUUCCGAUUAUCAAUAUUAUUCAUCUUCACAUCAUUGGCUGCCCUGGCUUUCUCCAAGAAUGUUAUACUCGACCAAACUGAAGUUCUCUCAUCUCAA